ACACGUUCUGGUUGGACUUAACCCCAGCAAAGCCAGGGGAGCCUCACCUCCUAGUCUGAGAGAUCUUGCUUUUCUCUACAAAUGCCCAGGAGCCUCUCCUCCAAGGGCUUUCGGCACCAUGGGCUCUGUGAGCCUGUGCCCCCUUAAAGUUUUCUGCGGGCAGGGUCACCCCAGGGCUGAGGGAGGAAGCCAUUGCUUUUGCCCAGACCUAAGAUCUCCUCAGUCUCCUUCACGGCCGAGAGCUUCAUGCUGACAAGGACUAAUGCCGGGCACAUUUCUACACACCGCUGGUCUACGAACUCCUUCAAUCCCCAUGACAACCCAGUGAGAAAGACCUUGUUGUUAUUAUUAUCAUGCCUAUUUUACUGACCAAGAAACUGAGACACAGAGAGACUAAGUGACCUGAUCAAGAUCUUCAGAUAGUUGACGGCAGCACCAGAAUAUGAGGCACUUUGAGAUUCCCGGGCCAACAGAGAGCAUUGCAUGCUGAAACCUCCGAAGCUAGCUGUGUGACCCUGCACUGGUUAAGUCACCUCUCUGAGCUGCAGUUUUCCCCUCGGUGUGCCCCCGUGGUGGCAUGGCUGGCGUGGAGGCGUGGCUGGCGUGGUCGGGGACUUGUCCGCUGCACCCCACCUGAGCUACCACCUCACACGUCACAGAGGCUGCUCAGAGUCUGAUCCACAGCUUCGCCCUGUGUUGCGGAAUUUUGACAUUUGACAACAGACUUGGGAUGGUCAAAUGCUGCACAUUUCACAAAGAAGACUGGCUUUGGAGCUGCCCCUGGACGAUGACCUCUAAGCCCUUGGAACCAUCUGCGUGAGAAGAGUGUCUUUGGAUACUUGAAGCCUUGGGCCCUGUUGGACAGUUUAUGCAAACUGUGAUUUGUGGUGGGGAUUCUGGGCCCUCCUCAGUUCGUGGGACUUCUGGACAGGCUGGAGACGGGGUUAUGAGGGGCCGUCACAAAGUCCUGACGUGACUGACCCCCAGUAAAAGCUACAGACACCAAGGCUUCGUGGAGCCUCUCUGGCUGAGAGUAGUCUGUGUGAGUUGUCACACGUCACAGCCAGGAGAAUUAAGUGUUGUCUCCAUGAUCCCACUUGGAGGUAUGACUGAAAGCCAGUGCCUGGGCUCUGCCUGGGCAGGUUUUCCCUUUGCUGGUUUAAUCUGUACAUUAACUGUGACGAUACCAGCUUUUCUGAGUUCUGGGAGCCCUUCUAGAAAAUCAUCAGACCCGAGAGUAGUCUUGGGAAUCCCUGACACAUCUUCCCACUCCUUGACUUCUGCUUCUUCCAGAAUGAACCAGAAGAUUCUUCUGUCUGUCUCUUGCAAAUUCAGAGCAUUUGUAUUUCAUACUCUCAGUAGUUUAUCAAGAAAUUUCUUUCAAGUAAAUCCAGUGUUCCCUAUGGAAGUGAUGUUGGUAAAAACAAUUUUCUCUAGCUUAUCUCCUUUUGCAAACAUGCCUAGGAAGUAUGUGUGUGUGUGUGUGUGUGUGUGUGUGCAUGUAUGUGUGUCUGCAUACACAGACACAUACUCAUACACUAGAACCAGGACUAGGAAUUACUUUACUGCCAGUAUCUACGGACUAUUUCCAAUUACUGUAAGGCCAGUGAAAGAAAGAAAAAAAAAAACACACACACAGUGGGCAGGGCAUCUCGGAUUACCUCUCUGCAAACAGCGUGAGGUCUCUUUAUCCCCCUCACAGUAACUAAUGUCUGCAUUGGUCUCAUCACACACUUGUAUCAUAAUUUUCUAACCAGUCCUCUCUUGCUGAAUAAUUGCAUUUCCAACAUUUUUCCUUUUCUAUAUAAAGCACCAUUGAAUAUUCUUGUACUAGUAAUCAUUAGGCUCUGCUAUAAUUAUUUCCUUAGCAUCAAUUUCUACACAUGGGAUUUCUGAAUUAGAGAGCACAGACGUUUUUUUAAGAUCUCUGAUAGAGUAUACCUUUUGGGGAUUGUAUCAGUUAAAAAUUCCACCAGUUUUAUGUAAACAUGAUCAUUUCCCUGCUUCCGGAUCACACUGGGCAUAAAUUGCUUGUUCCAUUAAUUAAUUAACCGCUCUAUCAGUAAAAGGAUGGUUAAUUAAAUUACGGUAAUUUUAUAUUUCAGAAUAUUAUGCUGUAAAGAGCAAGGGGAGUUUCUGGAAUAUAAAGGUGGAGAGAAACAAAAAGACAGACUUUUCCUAUCCUAAUAUGACAACAUGAACAAAAAAUUGACAAAAUCUAGAAUUUUUUAAAAAACCACCAGGAAUAUUUAGAAGACUACAGGGAGGUUUAUGACCCCAUCUUCAGGCUUUAAAGUGCCAAUGGCGGAAAUAGAGAAGUUUCGGGGUAUCUACAAGCAGCUUCUCUCCCUGUAUUCCAAGAAGAAGGGUUGAAGAGUGGGUAGAAGGUACAGGUGAAAAUACUGAGUAAUAGCCCCAGUUUGGAGAGAAGCCAACUGAGGGGAUGAGCCCCAGCCCAGAGAGCAAGUUCCCCCAUCCCCUAGAGGGGAAGCCGCUUGCCUUCAUCUCGCUGUUCUAACAGUGAGGGGUAAACCAGGAGGGGCUGGCG